rnacentral:sRNA from 1 species
AGCAGCCGCGGUAAUUCCAGCUCCAAUAGCGUAUAUUAAAGUUGUUGCAGUUAAAAAGCUCGUAGUUGAAUUUCGAGACCGGUUUACUGGUCGUGCUUUUGUACGUACUGGUAUUAUUGGUUUCUCCUUUCUGACGAAUCAUAAUGCCAUUAAUUUGGUGUUUUGGGGAAUCAGGACUGUUACUUUGAAAAAAUUAGAGUGUUUAAAGCAGGCUCACGCUUGAAUACAUUAGCAUGGAAUAACGAAAUAGGACGUUUGAUUUUAUUUUGUUGGUUUCUAGGAUCGACGUAAUGAUUAAUAGGGAUAGUUGGGGGCAUUAGUAUUCAAUUGUCAGAGGUGAAAUUCUUGGAUUUAUUGAAGACUAACUACUGCGAAAGCAUUUGCCAAGGAUGUUUUCAUUAAUCAAGAACGAAAGUUAGGGGAUCGAAGACGAUCAGAUACCGUCGUAGUCUUAACCAUAAACUAUGCCGACUAGGGAUCGGAUGAUGUUAAUUUUUAAUGAC